UAAGAGGUCCUGCCUGCCCGGUGACCUUGAGUUUAACGGCCGCGGUAUCUUAACCGUGCAAAGGUAGCGUAAUCACUUGUCCCUUAAAUGGGGACCUGUAUGAACGGCAAGACGAGGGCUUGACUGUCUCCUUUCUCCAGUUAAUGAAAUUGACCUUCCCGUGCAGAGGCGGGAAUACUAUCAUAAGACGAGAAGACCCUGUGGAGCUUAAGGCACUUGUUCUGCUCAUGUAGAAAACUCCAAUUAACGAGCACUACUUUGUGAAACCAGACCCAAUGCCUUCGGUUGGGGCGACCCUGGGGAAACAAAAAACCCCCAUGUGGAGUGGGGCUAAGCCCUAAAAACAAGAGCCCCUGCUCUAAUCAACAGUACCUCUGACCUAACGAUCCGGAGGCCGAUUAACGAACCAAGUUACCCCAGGGAUAACAGCGCAAUCCCCUUAUAGAGCCCAUAUCGACAAGGGGGUUUACGACCUCGAUGUUGGAUCAGGAUGUCCUAAUGGUGCAGCCGCUAUUAAGGGUUCGUU
rnacentral:rRNA from 1 species